CUGGCAAAUUAUCAAAGCCAACUGAUAGCAAAACAAGUUGGGACUCUCCUACAGUGGCAGUUUAAAACUAGGUGUAACUUCACCUAAAACAAAUGAAUAGAGCGGGGGUGUAAGGGGACUACCUAACUAAUUAACCCCUUGAUUAACUCCCAGGCAGAUUACAGCGUUUUGUGGAAAUCAAGGAGGUCUCAAGAAACUUAAAACUGUGCUGGUAUUGAUGUCACUUGAAAAUCUGAUUGUCAACAUCAUAAAAACAGUGCUAGGAAAAGCCACAAACUAUUGCACAAGACCCAGAAGGACUGAAAGUUGGAGGAUUUCUUUCAGGGGAUGUAUUGUUUUCACUGGGGAAGACUGCUCCAAAGCUCCACCAGGAUCCACGUGGGCUGGGACAAUGUGGGUUUCCUACCUGAGCUGGGAAGCUGCAGCCCACAGGAUGGACAUUCCUGUCUCCUCCAGGAGUGCAUCCAGGAGAAGCUCUGGGAAUGUGCACAGGGUUAUCAGACAGACCAUCACUUCCUGCAUCCCAGGGUUAUAAGGACAAGUUCAACUUGCAGCAUCCUUCUCCAUUUCCUCAGCUGGCAUUUAACUUCCAGUUGGAUGCAUCAUCCUCACUCCGUGAGCAGUGUGAAAUGAUUCCAUUCCAGGCACAUCUCCAGGAGGUCUAGCUCUGGCAAUUGGAAUAAGCAAUUUUGGUUUGGAGGAGUUCAGCAGAGAUAAAGACUUGUGCUAUGGGGAAGAAAUUCAGAUCACAACAACAAGGGGUCUGAGCAUUUAUUCCUGCUGGAUUUCUGAAACAAAAGGUGAUGUAAGGAGGAGCAGGAGUGGGAGCUGUUGAGGCUCUGCCUCAGCUCUCUGGGACACUGCUCACCAGCCUCUCCUUUGGGAAUAACAAAUAACAGCAUCCCUUGAUUCUCCUCCAGGAGUUUUGGACUGGUUGCAGCAGGAUUACACAUUGUCCCUGGGUUACAAACAUCCCCACAGAAAAACAGGAUUAUGUGGUCCUCUCACUUUAAACCAUGGGGAAGGACUGGCCCAUAAGAUGAAAGAGACUUUUAUUCCUGGAAACCAGGA